rnacentral:rRNA from 1 species
AUUGAACGCUGGCGGCAGGCCUAACACAUGCAAGUCGAGCGGAUGAAGGGAGCUUGCUCCUGGAUUCAGCGGCGGACGGGUGAGUAAUGCCUAGGAAUCUGCCUGGUAGUGGGGGAUAACGUCCGGAAACGGGCGCUAAUACCGCAUACGUCCUGAGGGAGAAAGUGGGGGAUCUUCGGACCUCACGCUAUCAGAUGAGCCUAGGUCGGAUUAGCUAGUUGGUGGGGUAAAGGCCUACCAAGGCGACGAUCCGUAACUGGUCUGAGAGGAUGAUCAGUCACAGGGGAAUGGAGAACGGGCCAAGCCCCUCAGGGGAGGAAGCGGGGGGGAAUAGUGGAAAAGGGGGAAAAUCUGAACCCAGCCAUGCGGGGGGUGGAAAGAAGGUUUGCGGAUUGUAAAGCUUUUUAGGUGGGGAGAAAGGGAAGUAGUUUAAUACCUUGCUGUUUUGACGUUACAAAAAAAAAAAGCCCCGGCUAACUGCGUC